AGCCAUUAGAAGGUAUUUYUGGUUUAACCUGCCCAGUGUGAGUAUUAAUAAAUGGCCGCGGUACUCUGACCGUGCUAAGGUAGCGUAAUAAGUUGGCUUUUAAAUGGAGUCAGGUAUGAAUGGAUUAACUGGGUUUAGCUGUCUCAAGGAUAAUACAUUGAAUUUACUAUCUAAGUGAAAAAGCUUAGGUAUAAUAAAAAGACGAGAAGACCCUUAAAAUUUAGUUUAAGAUAAUUUGCUAAUUAUUACAAUUUUGUUGGGGCGACAUAGAGAUAGUUAGAACUCUCUUUAUUUAAUACAAGCCGAAUUUUUUAAGCAAGAAUAAAUUACUUAAGGGAUAACAGCAUAAUCUUAUAGAUAAGUUUAUGACCUCGAUGUUGGACUAGGAAGCUAACAGGUUAGAUGCUUGUUGUGCGAAUUCUGUUCGAAUUAUAACUCCU
rnacentral:rRNA from 1 species